AAGGGCGGAGGCACUCUAGACGAACUGCCGUUGCAAAACGGAGGAAGGUGGGGAGUGACGUCAAAUCAUCAUGCCCCUUAUGUUCUGGGCUACACACGUGCUACAAUGGCCGGUACAGACGGACGCAAAGCCGCGAGGUGGAGCAAAUCCUAAAAAGCCGGUCUCAGUUCGGAUUGCAGGCUGCAAUUCGCCUGCAUGAAGUCGGAAUCGCUAGUAAUCGCAGGUCAGCAUACUGCGGUGAAUACGUUCCCGGGCCUU
rnacentral:rRNA from 1 species